CCUACGGGCGGCAGCAGUGAGGAAUAUUGGUCAAUGGACGGAAGUCUGAACCAGCCAUGCCGCGUGCAGGAAGACGGCUCUAUGAGUAGUAAACUGCUUUUGUACAAGGGUAAACCUGAAUACGUGUAUUCAGCUGAACGUACUGUACGAAUAAGGAUCGGCUAACUCCGUGCCAGCAGCCGCGGUAAUACGGAGGAUCCAAGCGUUAUCCGGAUUUAUUGGGUUUAAAGGGUGCGUAGGCGGAUUGAUAAGUUAGAGGUGAAAUGUCCGAGCUUAACUCGGGAACUGCCUCUAAUACUGUUGAGCUAGAGAGUAGAUGCGGUAGGCGGAAUGUAUGGUGUAGCGGUGAAAUGCUUAGAGAUCAUACAGAACACCGAUUGCGAAGGCAGCUUACCAAGCUAUAUCUGACGUUGAGGCACGAAAGCGUGGGGAGCAAACAGGAUUAGAUACCCCUGUAGUC
rnacentral:rRNA from 1 species